UACGUAUGGGGCAAGCGUUGUUCGGAAUCAUUGGGCGUAAAGGGCGUGUAGGCGGCUUUGUAAGCUUGGUGUGAAAUAUCACAGCUCAACUGUGAGGGUGCGCUGAGAACUGCAAGGCUUGAGUCUUGGGGGGGAAGCUGGAAUUCCUGGUGUAGGAGUGAAAUCUGUAGAUAUCAGGAAGAACACCGAUGGCGAAGGCAAGCUUCUAUCCAGAGACUGACGCUGAGGCGCGAAAGCGUGGGGAGCAAACAGG
rnacentral:rRNA from 1 species